CAUGUGUAGUCCUUUCCUUGGGGGCACUCGGGACCAUACACCGUGGGUUCUGGGUGUCCAUUAACCGUAGAAACAAAAAAGCACUGCGGAUGGCUCAGUUUAACGGCCGUAAUCGAAGGGAGCGCAAGCACACUACAUGGAUAUCCGUGGCAAUUCUAGAGCUAAUACAUGCCGAGCACAACCAAAAAAUCUUUUUAUUGACUUCUCUCUCUCUCUCUCUCUCUCUAUCCCUUUUGCAAUUCCGCGAGGGUGUUGAGGAGGAGGAGGGGAAAAAUAAACAAAGAUCAUACGGUUGCUUUAUUACCCAGAACGAGACCGAACAGACACGACCGACUUGGGCGGGACUUUGGCUCACCGCCGCCGCCACCACCACCACCACUAACACCGUCUCUGUUUCAUCGCCUUUACUGCCUUUGCAUAGGGUUGUGCAGGAUAAGUAUCGUUGCUUUGUCUCAGAGCGUGGGUGCGUGCGUGCGUGCGUGUGCGUGCGUAUCGUGUGUGUCAAUGCUCCAACGGGGUCGGAAAAAUAAAUGAAAAAUCCAUGUGGUGAUGCUGAAUAACGUUGACACGAUCGUUUUUGUGGGGAGAAUUAUUUUCCCCCUUUGACGGCUUCCACAUCGCAACGUCUGCCCUAUCAGGCUUGUCGGCGUAAUUACGGUAUGCCAUGGCUAUGACGGGAGACGGGGAAUCAGGGUUCGAUUCCGGAGAGGGAGCCUGAGAAAUGGCUACCACAUCCAAGGAAGGCAGCAGGCACGGAACUUACCCACUACCGACACGGUGAGGUAGUGACGAAUCAUACCGAGUCGGGGCUCUUCGGAGAUCCCGUAUUCGGAAUGAACGCACAGCAAAGAACGCGGAGAGGAUCGAUUGGAGGGCAAGUCUGGUGCCAGCAGCCGCGGUAAUUCCAGCUCCAAUAGCAUAUGCUAAAGUUGUUGCGGUUAAAAAGCUCGUAGUCGGAUCUCAGUUCUCGGGCAGGUGGUCCCGCCCGCAAUUCCGCGGUCCGGUUCCGGUUGUCAAAAACGCCACCUGUCUAGAACAUAAAGUAAAAUCGACAAGGACAAUUUGCGAGACUAAGCCCGAUCCCUUAGCCGUCGACCUUCCACGCACACGAUCUCUCUAUCUCUCUGCAUCUCGCGCGCGAGUUCAUCCUCUUUGCCGGGCGUGAUCAUCGUCGUCGUCGAGUGUAGUCUGUUUUGAUUUCUGUCGUGAGUUGACGAACGGCGAUGGCGUGGUGGCCAGCUUCUUUCAAAUAUACAUUUGUCGCCAGCGAUUACUUUGAAUAAAUCAAUGUGCUUAAAGCAGGCGUUGUGCUCUGCUCGAAUGAUACAGCAUGGAAUAAUGGAACAUGUCCACGGUUCGAUUUUUUUGACGUGUCUGUUGGUCUUGUGCGAACCCGAGGAAAUGAUCGAUAGGGACUGACGGGGGCAUUCGUACUGCGGCGCGAGAGGUGAAAUUCUAGGACCGUCGCAAGACGCCCAACUGCGAAAGCAUUUGCCAAGGAUGUUUUCGUUGAUCAAGAACGAAAGUUAGAGGUUCGAAGGCGAUCAGAUACCGCCCUAGUUCUAACUGUAAACGAUGCCGACCAGCGAUGUGUCGGCGUUCCUCCAAAUGACCCGACAUGAAGCUUUCCCCGGGAAACCAAAGUCUUUGGGUUCCGGGGGAAGUAUGGUUGCAAAUCUGAAACUUAAAGGAAUUGACGGAAGGGCACCACCAGGAGUGGAGCCUGCGGCUUAAUUUGACUCAACACGGGAAAACUCACCCGGCCCGGACACUGGAAGGAUUGACAGAUUGAGAGCUCUUUCUUGAUUCAGUGGGUGGUGGUGCAUGGCCGUUCUUAGUUGGUGGAACGAUUUGUCUGGUUAAUUCCGAUAACGAACGAGACUCUAGCCUACUAAAUAGACGACUGACGGGCUUAACCGUGACCGUCCAGUCCGAAAUCUCUUCUUAGAGGGACAAGCGGCUGACAGCCGUACGAAACUGAGCAAUAACAGGUCUGUGAUGCCCUUAGAUGUCCGGGGCCGCACGCGCGCUACAAUGAAGGGAUCAGCGUGUGCUCUAUUACAAUUUCCCCCCCGGUCCGAGACGACCGGGAAAUCCAUUGAAACCCCUUCGUGAUGGGGAUUGGGGUCUGUAACUGUCCCCCAUGAACGAGGAAUUCCCAGUAAGCGCGGGUCAUAAGCCGGCGUUGAUUACGUCCCUGCCCUUUGUACACACCGCCCGUCGCUACUACCGAUUGAAUGAUUUAGUGAGGUCUUUGGACUGGCGUUUCGCCCUUGGUCUACCCGAGGCCCUUUGCUUGGGCGUACCACGCCGGGAAGAUGACCGAACUUGAUCAUUUAGAGGAAGUAAAAGUCGUAACAAGGUUUCCGUAGGUGAACCUGCG
rnacentral:rRNA from 1 species